AACGAACGCUGGCGGCAUGCCUAACACAUGCAAGUCGAACGAGACCUUCGGGUCUAGUGGCGCACGGGUGCGUAACGCGUGGGAACCUGCCCUUAGGUUCGGAAUAACUCCCCGAAAGGGGUGCUAAUACCGGAUAAUGUCUUCGGACCAAAGAUUUAUCGCCUUUGGAUGGGCCCGCGUUGGAUUAGUUAGUUGGUAGGGUAAAAGCCUACCAAGGCGACGAUCCAUAGCUGGUCUGAGAGGAUGAUCAGCCACACUGGGACUGAGACACGGCCCAGACUCCUACGGGAGGCAGCAGUGGGGAAUAUUGGACAAUGGGCGAAAGCCUGAUCCAGCAAUGCCGCGUGAGUGAUGAAGGCCUUAGGGUUGUAAAGCUCUUUUACCCGGGAUGAUAAUGACAGUACCGGGAGAAUAAGCACCGGCUAACUCCGUG
rnacentral:rRNA from 1 species